UUUUUUUUUUUUUGUGAGUCUUUACAAGGCGAGCACUAGCUACUCAAGCUAACUUCAACGUGAGAACAUCUUUUACUCAAGGUGCCAUGUGAACAACAAAGUUUGUAGCUUGGUGAUUGAUCCUGGGAGUUUCACUAAUAUUGCUAGUGCAUUAAUGGUGGAGAGACUAAACUUACCAACUAGUGAGCACCCUCGACCCUACAAACUUCAAUGGUUGAAUAACAGCGGUGAGAUAUGUGUUCAUAAGCAAUUUUAGUUACUUUUCGCAUUGGUCGAUAUGAGGAUGAUAUUAUGUGUGAUGUGGUACCAAUGCAAGCUGCACAUAUUAUUUUGGGUCGUCCUUGGCAAUUUGAUAAAAGAAUCACUUUUGAUGGGCUUUUAAAUAAACACUCUUUCUUACAUAGUGGUAAAAAGAUCACACUUGCACCUCUUACACCUCAACAAGUGCAUGAGGAUCAAGUUAGCUUACAAAAAGAGUAUGACAUGCAUGCUGCUAAUAAAAGGAAAAACUCAAAGAGGAAAGAUGGGGCAGUGGCCGAGACAAACCCAAGGGAAAAUAGGGACACUAGUUUGUCCAUUGAGUUAAAGAAAGAAAGGAAAACCAGCAUGCUUGCUAGGGUUAAAGAUGUGAGACAAGCUUUACAUUCUAACCAGAUUUUGCUUAUCUUAAUUUGUAAAGAAGCUUUGCUCACUAAUGAACUUGAUGCUUCCUUGCCUAGUAUUGUCACUAACCUUUUGCAGGAAUAUCAAAAUGUGUUUCCUGAAGAUAUACCUAAUGGUUUGGCCCCUUUAAGAGAAUUGAACAUCAAAUUGAUUUCAUUCCUAGAGCUUCAUUGCCAAAUAAGGCGUCAUAUAGGACUAAUCCUGAGGAAACCAAGGAGCAACAAAAGCAAGUAGAGGAGCUACUUGGCAAAGGAUGGAUUCAUGAGAGUCUAAGUCCUUGUGCAGUACCUGUCCAACUAAUGCCUAAGAAAGAUGGAGGAUGGAGGAUGUGCACUGAUUGUAGAGCAAUUAACGCCAUAACGGUAAAGUAUCGCCAUCCCAUACCUCGAUUGGAUGACAUGCUUGAUGAAUUACAUGGUGCUAUCAUUUUCACUAGAUUGAUUUGAAAAGUGGUUACCACCAAAUUUGCAUGAAAGAAGGGGAUGAAUGGAAAAUUGCUUUUAAAACUAAACAAGGGCUAUAUGAGUGGUUGGUCAUGCCUUUCGGCGUAACUAAUACACCUAGUACUUUUAUGAGACUAAUUAACCAUGUUUUGCAUCCCUUCAUUGGUAAAUUUGUGGUAGUUUACCUUGAUGAUAUCUUAAUAUAUAGCAAGAGUUUAGAUGAGCAAGUGAUACACUUGCAAACAGUUUUGGAUGUACUUCGAAAGGAAAGCCUCUACGCUAACCUUAAGAAGUGCACUUUUUGCACUAAUCAACUUGUAUUUUUAGGCUAUGUUGUGAGUGAACAGGGUAUACAAGUUGAUCAAGCAAAAGUGAAGGCUAUAAGUGAAUGGCCAACACCUACUAAUGUAAGUGAGGUAAGAAGUUUUCAUGGCUUGGCAAGCUUCUACCAAUGCUUCGUCAAGCAUUUUAGCACAAUUGCUGUGAGGACCCGUAAAAUUCUUUAUAUUUUUCUUAAAAUUCCUUUUAAUUUGGAAUUUAUUCAAAUUUAUUACUUUACAAUGACUUUAAUAUAUAUUCACUACCCCAAUAGUUACAAAUAAUCAUAAAAACAAGGGUUCCCUUUUUACCUUCAUCGUUACAAUAAAUUAGGGUUUUUACGUCUUUCCAUAAUGUGAGUAAUCGGUGCAGAGUGUGUACUAAAUUUGGUGAGUAAGAGUGACUUUUAGAUGAGAAAAUAAUGUGUGAUUAGAAGUAAUAAUAAUAAGUUAGUGAAUUAUAAGUUAAAACCCUAGUAUACGCGAUUUAAGAAAAAUCGGCUCGAACCGACGGGUAUCGUUCACUACCGAUUGGACACAUCACUUGACCAACACCUUCCUCACCAUAAAAUAUCAUUGAUAUUGGUGCAAAAUAUCUCCCUCAUCCUCAACCCUCUUAGCCGAAAUAUUUGACCAAAAAAUGCAAGGAAAAGAAAAAAUUUUGAGAUGGAUUUUGGUUGCGACAAGUGGCAACCAUCCCUUAAGUAUUGACCAACCAAUUUUCCUCCAUAUUUAUCAUCAAAAAACACACAAAUUGCCCUCAUUUUCCUCCUCCUAGCCGUGAACAAGAGAGAGAGAGUGAGCAAGAGAAAAACAACUUCAUUUCAUCUUGAUUUGCACCAUUUGAGUGAAAAAAAAAAACAAGAUUCUAAACCGAUUAACUUGUAAAUUGGAAGCUUGGGAAGCUUAGGGAAUUAAAAAUUUCAAGGGGAAGUGAAGGAGAACACUAGCAAGCUCUAGUUUUGAGGUAAAAUGGUCUGACCACUCUUUUCUUUUUUCCCUUAAUCAUGUUGGAGUUGUUUAGUAACUUGUAUUUGUGAUUGUGAUGCUUAAAUCAAGAGAAUUUGGAUGAUUGGGGUGAUGCACUUGAGUUAGGGUUUGAAUGAUUUCCUUCUCAUACUUGUUGUAUGGAUGUUUUAUGAUGUAUGUAAGCUUGUAUAAGAGGUUGUGGUAGUGAUUUAAGCAAGAAAUGAAGAGAUUUCCCUUUUAAACCCCAAAGUCCAGAUUUCAAGAAAUCUUGUUUUCAGUUCUGCCUGUUUCUGUUUGCCUAUGAUAGAGGCCGAAUUAGGCUUAGCAUAAAACAUGAAAGUUGUAUAGAAUGAUAUUUUAUAGUUUCCUACAAAAUUUCAGCUCAAUCGUAGUACUGUAGUAUGUGAAAAGAUAAAAAUACCCCUGACUGCCAUAGGGAGAACUUUAGGGACAGUUUUGACAUUUCACCAAUUUGACCGUGCCUGUUCACCCUGAUGCGUACCGAAUUAGCAUUUAGCCAAAACAUGAAAGUUUUAGUGCUAUGUCUUAGAUUUCCAGCGCCCCUGGAAUCACCUCAAUUGGACUUCGGUAGUCUGAGUUAUUGUUAUUUAAACAUAGUGUUGUUAACUGACCUGUUUGUGCGAUUCUGGUUCAGUAAUUUCAAAUUUUGACCUAGAUACACUACGAACUGGACUAGGUGGUCUUCAUCAAAGUUGUAGCUCUCUGCCUUAGCUUCGAAACGGUAUAAAUUUCACCUCAAUCCAAUAAGCGUAGCUGCGGUUGUGUCCGUUACGCAAAACAACGUCAAAUCUGUCUUGUGCUAAACUUCAUUUCCGCACAUGUCCUUAGCUUGAUUUUGUACUUGUAUGACUUUGAGCCUAUUGAACGGCUAUUGAAAUGAGAUUAUUUUGUAUGUAACUGUGGGGUUGAUUGAGGAAAAGAAUGAAGCCAUAAAUGGCUGAAAAAUAGGUAAAUACAAAGGGCGUGCUGCCCAAAUUUACGCUUGAGGGCUAGGUAGAUAUACUUGCGACACGAGUAAGGCUUAAGAGCGAAUACCACUUGAACUAUCUAGAAUAUUUGCGUCUUCUUUUAUCGAGAUAUAUAAGUUAGAACUUGGCCGACCUUGUACCCUUGGGAAAAUGAAAUUUACGACUCAUAGAAAUACGUUUUCUCCAUUUCUUUGACUCAAAUGGUAUUUCAAGUGUAAUUGUUUCAAAGUUUCAAAGGUUUAAGAGCGAGCAUGAAUUUUUUGGAAUUUGAUAAGUAUCAUGAAUAUUACUUAAGCGAAUUGUAUUUCCUUGAUUUUCUUGAAGCGAAACUCCUAUGUUUCGAAUUCUAGAGCGUUUUACAUUCGCAAAUGAUAUUUUAUCGCAGAUUUGGACUCCAACCAAGGAGUUGGACCUGAACGUGACUUUUGAGAUGCAUACGACUCAUAGAAAUACGUUUUCUCCAUUUCUUCGACUCAAAUGGUAUUUCAAGUGUAACUGUUUCAAAGUUUCAAAGGUUUAAGAGUGAGCAUGAAUUUUUCGGAAUUUGAUAAGUAUCGUGAAUAUUACUUAAGAAAAUUGUAUUUCCUUGAUUUUCUUCAAGCGAAACUCCUAUGUUUCGAAUUCUAGAGCGUUUUACAUUAGCAAAUGAUAUUUUAUCGCAGAUUUGGACUCCAACCAAGGAGUUGGACCUGAACGUGACUUUUGAGAUGCACUAGACCUUUGGUGAGUGCUUCCAAAUACCUGAUUGAACUGGACACUUGUUUUCAAUACUUGACCAAUGUGAUUUAAUGAUAUGUCAUUUGUUUGAUCGGGCAAGAGUGUACUUUAUCGUACUUGCCCUAAUAUGAGAUAUACGUGUUUAUUGUUGCAAUGGAUUUGAUAUAUUUGUGUAUAUGGUGCGCACUUCCUGGAAUUCCAGAAACCCUGUGGCGAGUUACUCGAGUCGAGCCGGCAAGGGCUUGGUCGAUUGGGUAACGAACCCUGGGUCUUUUGUUUUGUCGAGUGGAGUGAUAUCUCCUCGACUAAUUGGUAUACUCGAGUAUUACCACCAGUGUUUAUUGAGGAUUUUGGGUUCAGUAGGGGGUUUGGAUGGUGGACGGAGAGUAGUUUAAGUGGUGCUCUACUGGAUUGGUUACUUACUUGAAAGUUGACGGAGUGUCAACUAUUACUUGAUCAAGCUCUGGUGAUGCAAAUGGAAAUUUUGGCUCCUGAGAGCCAUCCGUAUCCUUAUACUUUGGAAUGAUUAGUACUUAUCGUGUUAUUGUUUCGUUUUAAAAGAAAAACUUUACACUCGCUCAUUUUGAGAUUUUCUACUUGAAGUGUUAUUGCUCACUUUUAUGAACUUUUCAUGCUCAUCACUCUACUACGUGAUACUUGCACAUUUAAAUAAUGGUCAACUUGCUAUCUGAAACCUCACUGGGCUUUUAGCUCAUUCCACGUCAUUUGUUUUCCUUACAGGGGGUACAAGCGAGGCGUGAGACGUGAACAAACUAGCGUAGUCUAGUUGUUUUGACUUUUGUAAUUGUACUCACACUAGUCGCUCGAUUAAGGUUGAAUGUAAAUCUUUUGGUGUAUUUGGGACUUUAUGGAUGGCUGAGAUAGAAAUGAAUGUAUUCGUAUGUUCCAAACUUGGGAAAUAUUAUUUCGUGUAUUAUUGAGAUUGCAUCUUAGUUUAUUUGAUGUGAGUGAGUGAGUCUGUGACAGCCCCACAUUCCCCUAAGGCGAACCAAAGGGGUUAGCGGACUGCCUGCCCAACUCUCGCCAGGACUAACGGUGCAGUUAGAGCGAUCUAUUGCAUUCCGGAACUUACAAACGCGCGUAAACAAGUCAAAAUGGCAAAAUAACCCAAAAUAAAAAUAAAAAAAAUGAAAUCCGGAGUCGGCCAUGAAUAGUAACCGACCCGUCAGAACCCAACCAAAAACCAAACAAACGUUCACAUCUUGAACUUUAGUAUUUACAAUCCAAAGUUGCAUACAAAAGUGGAUUCAUGUAUGGUUUGCCCAAUCAAAAGAGAAACAGACCCAAAAGUACAUUUAGGGUUUCAAUAAAUGAGCUAUACAAAAGAUAUGUCCAACUAGCUCAUUUCGGCAACCAAUUAUCAAUUGCAGUCCAAAAGUAGUUAUUUUCCUGUAAGGAAAACAAAAGGAAUAGAGUGAGCUAAUUGCCCAAUGAGAAUACUACCCAAGCAACAAAGUUCACAUAGGCAUAAAGCUUUUCAUUUCAAUUCAUCAAAAGUAAGCCAAGGAACACGUCAAGAUUGAGGAUAAAAGGAUACGGGUGGCUCUCAAGAGCCCUUUUCCUCGUUUGCAUUCUUGAUCGGAUCUCAUUGACUCUCCGUCAAUAUUCAAAAGUAACCAACCGUAGACUCCACUUUACUUCCAUUCCAUCCACCUAACAUCCCCCUACCGGGCCCGAACUCCAAACACUUGCACUGUGGUAUUACUCGAGUAUACCGGAAUCGAGAGUCUCUCAUACUACAAGAUUCCAUAUAACACUUUCCCCAAGGAUCAUUAAUUGGCACGACCAAGCCCUCACCGGCUCGAUUCAAUCAACUACCAAUGGGGUUGAGCUCAAAGAUAACAAUUGUAGUCGUUGGAUACUCGUCCAAUCGACACCAAAUCAAGUACUUUCAUUUCAUGUAACAUUCCAAUAACAAGAGAAACAAUAAGUGAGAGUGAUAAAGUACGCUCUCACUUCAAUCAAUUAACAUUCAACUCAUCAAGUUCAAGUAUCAAAGCUAUAUAGUAACACAUAAGUGAGUAGUACACUCACCAAGCUUGCAAAUGGUGUUUCAUGCACUACCGUCAAAAGAACGUCGUGAACCACCGUCACGCCCUAAAACAUGCAAACAAGUACAAUGAGACUCGAUAACGAGUCAUAAACCAAUGCCAAAUACGACCCCAAUAGGGUUCCAUAAGCAUAUACAAGCAUUAGGGGAAACCAGAAAAUCCGGAAAUGAAACUAGCUUUAACCCUGAAAAAAAUAGUUUUUGACCUCAUUUUGCGGUAAUGGCACCAAAGACACUACAAUUAUCGGAUGAAGGUCCAAGACCCACUGUUUCGAAGCUAAGAGAUAGGGCUACAAUAUUACAGAAGGUCACUCAACCCAGUUUCGAGUGUAACCAGGUCAAAAAUGCAAUCUACUAUACCAGAAUCACAAAAACAGAUUCACAGAACGCAUUCUAGCGGAAACAUCAUAAAUCAGGCUAUCCAAGUCCAAAUCCAGAAAUUCCAAAACCAACUGAAAUCUAAGAAACAGGGCUACAUUUCAUCAGAAGGCCUCAACAACCAAUUCGGAAGCAUUCCUAACCAAAAUAACCAAUUACAGAAGCAAUUCUCCAAUUCGGGUAAAACCAGAACAGCAAGGGUAAUUUCGACUUUUCUCAAGCUACACUACUCCGAUUGACCUGAAAUUUUGUAGGUACCUCUAAAAUAUCAUUCCCUACAACUUUUAUGUUUUAAGUCAAGGCCAAUUCGGCCUCUAACUAGGAGCUAAAAAACCGGGCAGAAUGUUAUCAUCAUAAACCCUAAUUUUCCAAGAUUUCUUCCAAAACAGAAAUAGUUUGCAAUUAACCACUUUUUCCACCUCAUAGAGUCCUUAAACAUCAUUUCCAAUCAUCAUAUAUAGCCACACAAUCAUGUUCAUAUUAAAACAGAAAAAUCCCCAAAAAUUAUAAAACUUCAUCAAUUCAACCACAAAUCAAGAAAUAAUCCAUAAUAUUGCAUCUCAUACUACCACUAAGCAUGACUUAAGCAUCAAUAAAGGGAGGAGAGUGGUUCUUCACAACUCACCUUAGAAACAAGAGAGAGAGAGAGCAACAAGUCCUCUUAGCUUUCCAAAUAACUCCACACAACACUUCACUAUCACUCCCUUAAGUGGUUUUAUGGAGCAAAAUCAAGGUUGGAUGGUUGAGUAAGUUGAUUGAAGCAAGAUUGAAGCCAAAAUCUUGAAGAGUUUUCUUUCUUUUGUUGCUCAAGGAGCUCGGCCAAGAUGAAGAGAAAAUGGUGAAUUUUUGGUUAUUUUUUUGAUUUAUUUGGUCAAUGGUAAGAAAAGGAAUAGUAGUCUUACUUAAGGACCAAUCCAAUGGUGACACUUGUCACCUCCAUUAAUGCAAGUCUAUCACUUUGUUUCCUCUCACACCAAUCCAAAUUGCAACCUCUACUUAUCUCUUAACACCCGGUAAAUUAAUUCCAGUAUCCAAAACUUAACCUAGUUGGCCGAAUUUUUUCGAACUUUUCGUACUAGUGGGUCCCACGUCCGGUAUACACUCUUAAUUUCUCAAAACCUAUUCGAUACUAGAAAAAUCAUCUAAAAACUAUAUCUACUCCUUAAAAAGAUCUAGAAUUUUUCCUAAUCACGAAAAUGCAGAAAACAAGCCAUGAAAGAUAAUAAAACCUAGAAAAUGGGAAAAAUUACGGGUUCUCACAGAGUCCUGGCGAGAGUUGGGCAGGCGGUCCGCUAAAUCCUAAGGUACGCCCAGGGGAAGGUGGGGCCGUCACAAUUGCUGCACCACCUACAUCAAUAGUCAAGAAAAAUGUGCCAUUUCACUAGAGAGAUGAACAAGCUAAGUCUUUCUAAUUACUUAAACACAAACUCACACAUGCACCUGUGCUAAGUUCAUCUAACUUUGAUAAAGCUUUUGAAGUUCAGUGUGAUGCUUUUGGUAUAGGCAUUGGGGCUGUUCUACUCCAAGAAGGUCGUCCAGUUGCUUAUUUUAGUGAAAAGCUGAAUGGAGCUUCAUUGAACUAUUCAAUCUAUGACAAAGAGUUGAUGGCUUUAAUUCGAGCUCUGCAAACAUGGCAACACUACCUGCGACCUCAAGAGUUCAUUUUGCAUACUGAUCAUGAGUCGCUCGAACACAUCAAAUCCCAAACUAAGUUGAGUAAGCGACAUGCGAGGUGGGUAGCCUUCAUUGAUAGCUUUGCAUUCGUGAUCAAGUACAAAACAGGUAAGACUAAUGUAAUAGCUGAUACUCUUUCUAGGAGAUACACACUUAUCACUACAUUAAAUGUUAAGUUGCUAGGCUUUGAAUUCAUUAAGGAUCUUUAUACAACUGACCCCAUUUUUGGUGAGAUUUUCAUUUCUUUGCCACAACACACUCGUGAGCUUAUUUCAUAGCACAGGGGUUCUUGUAUUACAAGGAUAAGCUGUGCAUUCCAACGAGCUCAAUGCGUACACUAUUGGUUCAUGAGGCACAUGGAGGAGGACAUAUGAGUCAUUUUGGCAUUGCUAAGACAUUAUCAGUUCUCCAAGAGCAUUUCUUUUGGCCACAAAUGAAAAGGGAUGUAGAACAACAUAUAGAAAGGUGCAUCACUUGUCAUCAUGCAAAAUCCAAGGUAAACCCUUAUUGUCUUUACACUUCCUUACCCAUUCCACAUGAACCUUGGGUUGACUUGUCUAUGGAUUUUGUGCUUGGUUUGCCUAGGACUAGAAAGGGUCAUGAUUCAAUUUAUGUUGUAGUUGAUUGUUUCUCUAAGAUGGCACAUUUUAUCCCCUGUCAUAAAACUGAAGAUGCUAAACAUGUGGCCGACUUGUUCUUUAAAGAAAUAAUUCGUUUGCAUGGAGUACCUCGCACUAUUGUUUCUGAUAGAGAUGUAAAGUUCCUUAGCUACUUUUGAAAAACUUUGUGGUGUAAACUAGGCACUAAAUAGCUCUUCUCUACCUCUAGUCACCCACAAACUGAUGGACAAAUAGAAGUAGUUAAUAGAACUUUGUCUACUUUGUUGCGAGCAAUAAUUAAAAAGAACAUCAAAACUUGGGAAGAUUGCUUGCCUCAUGUUGAGUUUGCUUAUAAUUGCACUAUGCACACUGCUACACAAUAUUCACCUUUUGAAAUUGUUUAUGGCUUUAACCCUCUCACACCAUUGGACUUAUCUCCUUUACCUGUUCAUGAGAGACUUAACUUGGAUAGUAAGAAAAAGGCUGAUUUUGUGCGAGAUUUGCAUGCUAAAGUUUGAGCUAACAUUGAAAAGCGAACUCUCCAAUAUGUUCAAAGUGUAAACAAAGGACGUCGCAAGUUGGUAUUCGAACCAGGUGACCGGGUUUGGAUACACGAGCGUUUUCCAGUCCAAAGCGCAAUAAACUCCUUCCAAGGGGCGAUGGUCCCUUUCAAGUGGUGGAGCGAAUUAAUGACAAUGCUUACAAACUUGAUCUCCCAGGUGAGUAUAGAAUACAUGCUACAUUUAAUGUUACUGACUUGAGUCCUUUUCAUGCAGGUGAUGAACUUGAUUUGGGGACAAAUUGCCUCCAAGAGGAGGGGAAUGAUGAAGGGACACAAGUAAUCUAGAAUGAUCAAGUUACGAGUGAUCAAAUUAUAUAAGUUCCAAGCGGUCCAAUUACAAGAGCUCGUGCAAGAAAACUGAGAGAAUCACUUCAAGCUCUUGUGUGGACCAUUCAAGAUCGAGUUGGGGAUGAUUUGAGGAUCAUAGAAGGCUUGGACAAUGAAGAUUCAACACUUUACACUUUGCUCCAAGUUGAAGGGUCGGGUGAAGAUUAAUUCGGAUGCAAGUUGAUUAGCUAGUUAGUCAUCUAGGUAGUCUUGUUAAGCAAGGGUUUAUUUGUCAUUUAUCUCGCUGUUUUAGUUGUUAAUUUUAAGCUUAAUAAUUCGGCCAACAUUGUCCUUAUUUUAGCCGAACUCUAGUCAUUAGUUUUAGGGUUUCGUUAAGUCCAAAUAACUUUAGGUUUGAGUCAUUGUAAGGCUAUAAAUAGCCUAGUCUUUUCCAAUAAUUUUAGUUAAUAAGUUUUUACAAUAAAAUUUGUGAGUUUAUUCACUUUCUCUUGUCCAAGAGAGCUUCCUUUGAAUACUUGAGAGUUUUCUUAAGUUAUUCAAUCCGAACUUAUCAAUCAAGUAAACACCUUGGUUGUGGCGUUCGUCUACCAAUAUCUUUGGUUCGCUAAAAAUACUAAAGUUGUGGGUCGAGCUUUGUCUUGGUUCGUGACUUGUGGUUUUAGAACGGUCAAGGUUCCGCAUUUCAACUUGCGUUCUUCGUCUAGAUCCAGGGAUUGGUUGAGUACGAGUUCUUACCUUCGGGCGGAUUCGUAUCAAUAUUUAAGUGCAUCACCUGCUUCAAUUUAUAAUGUUAUUUAAUUUUAUAAACACUCUCCUUAUUCUUUGGGAUUAGUGGCAAGAAAAGAUACAAAAAUUGAUAAAUUUUUCAUAUUACAAAGAAAUUGGGUAAGAGAUAAUUUAACGGAUGGCAUAAAAAUAAAAACAAAUAUGCCAGUUAUGAGCUUUAUUCGUUUAGAAAGCAAUUUUUUAGGUUUUUAUUUGUCUGGAAUUUAUUGGAAAAAAUAUGAUAAAACAUAUAUUUUUACGGUGUGGUAAAAAUAUUAAGAUGUAUAAAUCAUAUAUCUAAUAAAUAUUUAAAAAGGAAUGUGGAAAAAACGAUUUUUUUUGCAAUAAGACUAUAAAGCAUUGCGCUAGGGAAGAUGUAUACAGUCUAUUUUCCAUAAUUAAAAUAAAACAAUUAGUCUAAGAAUUAUUUUAGCCAAGCCAUAUUUAAUCACAAAGCAAAAUUUAAGGUUUUUAUUUAUUUGAGGUUUUUCUCCUUUUUGAAAGAAUUUUGAUAUCUUGCUUAACUUUGGACCAUUAGAUUUACAGUAGUUGGUUGAUUUUCUUUUGUAAUCAUUAGAUCAUUCAAUGGUCAGACAACUUACUCAUCUAUUUUGGUAAAAUUCAAAACUGUUGGCCGUUCUUUUAUACAUCUCAUUCCUGGUUUCCAUUUUCUUCUUGUACAAACAAUAUUUAUAAAUCAUAGGCCACUAUUUUACUUCCUUCAAUGACUUGUUAUGAUUAGAUAUUUACCAUUUACCUAAGAGUUGGGUUGUUUUUUUGUAUAAAUUUCAACCAAUUGAUUAAUUGUUCUUUGCACUUUCAUCAUACAUUCACCAUUAGAUUAGAUCAUGAAUCAAUGGAGUGGUUUACUAAUCAUUGACUACAUUUUUAGAUGAAAAUUUUGACAACAAUAAAUCAAGAGGCUACAUUUGACAAAGUAGAUUAAAAUUCAUAAGCUUUUAUUCAUUUUAUUUGUUCUCAUAGCUUCCUUCCUAGUAAUUUUCGUAAAACAGAGAUUAAAAGGUGUGCAGCUUCUCCUUCAACAACUUAUCACCAAUACAACAUAAUUAAAACCAAAAACAUUCUAAAGUUUAUAGAAAUUAAUAUAUUUUUCCAACAAUACACAUUUGUAUUUACAAGUUAGACAAAAAGAAACAAAUGUGAAUUUACUUCAAUACAAUGCAAUUAUUAAUAAAUUCAACAAAGCAACUUAUUAUUUCCUAUGAAAAAUAUAACUAGAACUACUACAAAAGCUAUUGUUUCAUCAAUUACUACCAAUGAAUCCAUUCCAAUGGGCACUGGCUGUGCAUGGCACAGCCCACUCUUACUAGUAUAUAUAUUUUUUAAAUUAUAGGCUUUGUGUGACAAUUGGUGCUCGUACAAAAGCUUUCAAGUACAAAUAUUUCCCAUCAAAUCCAGAGGCCAUUGAAGGUGGGAUUAUAGAUGACCUUUUGCAUUUGAAGAAUCUUUGUGUUAAACUAAAUGCUGGCAUUGACGAACAAAAUGUGAAAGCCAAGGGAAAAUCAAAAUCUUCUGGUUCUUAUCUUGCUGGUGUUUCAGCCAGCAGAGAGAUGGUUUAGUUGGAGUCGUACUGGAGAUUUUGGGGGAACCCAGCAAAGGGGAUGGCGUGUCAACUUUUGAGUUCAUAGGCAGUGGAGUUAUUGGAGCUUUGCUAAAUGACUUUACGGGUCCGUUUGGUUGGACUGAAAAUAUUUUUCUAGGGAAAAUAUUUUCCAUCGAAGUCAUUUUCCUGGAAAAUCACUUCCUUCCCCAUAAUUUUCCAGUGUUUGGUUAUUAAGUGAAAAUAUUUUCCGGUGUUUGGUUUGUCAAUGAAAAUAUUUUCUGAUAUGUUUGUUGAUAUAUUGCAAAUAUUUUUCUACUCUCAAAACAUUCAUUUCAUUACAAGUUAAUUUUAGUUUCUAUCCAUUAUAAUCAUAUUAUCAUUUUUAUAAAAUAUUUAUUCAUAUUACACCAUGAAUUCUUAAAUUUUCCAACUCGAAUUGGUAAUAAGCUAGAACAAUUCAAUGCAUACAGAAGCAAAUAUAUGCCAAAAUAUAAAAUAUUACUCAACAAAAACGAAAAUCCAUCUCCAAAUGGAAAACGGUCCCAAAAAUAGCAAAAGAAUCAAUUUUUCUCCAAAAAAACUUCUAAAAGGCAAGACUCACUGUAUAUCUAGAUUUUUCUGUAUCUUCAUAGAUGUUUUUGUGUGAGAGUGUAGAGAAAAGAAAUAAGAUAGCAAAAGAUAAAAAAGAGGGGAAGGUUGCCAACCAUUAUUACUUAAAUUCCUGGCGGUUCACCAUUCAUGCAAGGCAUUAUACGAUUCAUACUCCAGAAAUAUCAGUAGACUUGUGCCAAAGGAAAAUCCUUUGUCGUUACAUGAUGCUUCUUGCUGAUAAUGGCAUUGAUGCAGAGGAGCAAACUGAUCACCUUUUGGCUUCCCGAAUGUGGAAGCAUGGAAAGAAGCAACGAAACAAAUGAGCCCCGAAGGCAAACAUGCAUUCAAAAGCUCCACCCCUCCUUUCUCUUCGAACUUGAGGUAGAAGUGGAACACCGUAAGCAGGAUUUGGCACCAUGUACUGCUGAUAGGAAGUAAUGCUGGCAGCAGCUGGCAUUGUAGGAUCUUGCGGUCUGGGUUGUGGAACCGAACCGAAGUCUUGUGGACCAAAUGUGGGAUCUUGAACUUGAGCUGGGUUUGAUGAGGUAAAUGAGAUAAACUUAGAGUUUGCAUAGACGGUGUCUUGAGCCUCGUGAUCGUACUCAACCCAUGAUGAUGAAGAUGAUGAUGUUGGUAAUGGUGGGGCAGAGGGCUCAUACGGCGGACAGUAAUAUUGGUACUGACAAUGGCAUGGUGGUGGUGGUGGGUUAUCAAUGAACAAUGCCUUCUUCUUCUUCUUCUUCUUCUGCUUUCUUGACCAGAACUUGAGCUUCUUCACGGCCUUCAUCAUCUUCAUGGCUGGCCUUCUUGUUUAAAAUGGAGAAAAUGAAAAAAGUCCACUGGUGCUGUAUUGUUCAGCGGAAUCUUGUAAGUUGAUUUAUUCAAAUAGAAGAGAUAACUUGGCUGUGGCAAAGUACGAAUCUGGAAGUGGAAGCGAGAUUUGAUAGUCUUACGGAGGACACUUGACAAAGCAUUCAAAGACAGAGAAGUUAAAAAACAUCUACAACUCUCACCAGCUCCUUUUUCAUGAGUCCUGAAGCCGUCGGAAAUUAACUUCAGGAAAAUUGUUGUGGAAGUCAUUUUCCACCCGGUGGCGUGAAAACAUUUUCCAGCUGAAAUAAUUUUCCAACCUCUUUUGCUUCCAAACACCAGAAAUUCUGGAAAACCUUUUCGGGAAAAUAUUUUCAGUCCAAACAAACAUACACUACGUGCGGCGAUUUCUCUGUAUGGAAUUUCAGAAGCUAAGUUUCCUAAGCUGCGGCGACAAGCUAUAAGGUACAAAUCUUUUGUUUUAGUUGCUCUCCCAUCAAAUAUUGGAGAUGAAGACUACAUUUCAGACAUUGCAGCACAAGUCCCAUAUUUUUACUUUUUAGCUGAUAUUAGUCUGUUUCAAGUGCUGAAUUUUCUGAGUUAAAAAAAAUGCUUUUAAAUGUUGGCACGUGCUGCACAUGCCAUCAUUCCAUUAGAGAUUAGAAGGAAUCUGUCAAUUGCCCCUUUUUGUUCAAAAUUGAAUAUAUUAUGAACUACAUUUACUUUGCAAAAUAAAUUAGAGACUAGAUCCACGCAUCACGUAUGGGGUGAUAGAUUAGAAACCAAAAUUACAAUUCUCCCAUUCAUUCUUCAAGAAGAGAAAUUAAAACAAGUCCGAGUCGGAAAACUUUGAAGUUUCCACAUCCAAGAAUGUCCAGAAAUCUAAAGCUACUUCAAAUAGACAACAUUACCCAAAUGUAAUCUGCUCCCGAAAAUCAACUAAGAAAAAACAUUAAAUCUUGAUCCAUUCCACGUUUAAAUUAAAGUUCACACUCAUAAUUAGUUUCGCCCCCUACAUCAAAAUCUUGGCUCCACCACUGUUUAUGGACCAAACUCGAAACUAAUUAGAUCAACCAAAAAAACUACAUCAACCUUAAAAACAUUGAUUCCAACUCGCACAAGACUGAUCGAUACAAUACUAAACCCGAUUCUGUGGGAAAGUAUACAAGUCCGAGUUAAACGACAAAACAAGUCAUGCGUGAUGAAACAGAACAAGAAUCGUAUUCUCUCCAACAAAAUUCUUGAGAACAAGUUCAAACUUCCCUAAUGAACUCAUGCAAUGAUAAAUUGAGGACAGAUAGCAAUCACAUGCUGAUAUAAAUUCUCUAAUACCAAUGUUGUGAGUUUCAUAGUUGGUGCAGGAGAGAGGCAACACCGGUUGUCAUGCCAUUCUAUUUCAGGAACAAGCACAGAACGAAUAACAAGCAGCUACUUAAACGUUAGAAAAACAGAGAAGGUAAAAAAGCACGAGCUUUACACUGUAGAACCUGCAACGUCAUACUGACACAGCUGAAUACAGCCAAGCAGCCCACAACCUCCAAUUUUCUGAAUAUAUACUUUGGGCUAUGAUGCACAGGAAGUCUUUACCCGGUCUGCUAUAAAUUGUCUACUGCACUUCUUAUUUGGCAGUGACUACAAACAUGAAAAUCCGUACAGUAUAUAGCCUAAGAAUACAGCCUUUAACCCAUAACUCCUGCCAAGAAUAGAAAACACGAGCAACCACUAAACCUUGAUCAAAUUGAAUGGCUAUGCCAGAGUCUACUAGGCAAAAGGAUUGCCUCCAACAGACGCAACAGGACCAUGAGAUGGGACAUUCCUGCCAAAGAAAAGGCUGAUUUUAGCUGGCCUCCGUUGCGAGAGUGAAGGCAAUACAUCUCAAUUUUGGAAUAAAUGACAGGAGCAUCAGGAUUUUGAAUAUUCUGAAGCCAACCUUUUCAAGACAGCAUUGUCAGGACCAAAAACAAAUUACACCAAAUGGUUAUAGCAGCACAUGCAUUAGGAUACCACACACCUUGAAUCAAAAUCCUUCUCCUCCCCCAAAACACUUCCUGUUUUGCUUAA
rnacentral:lncRNA from 1 species